UACCAGCACCCCGAGUGGUCGGGACGAUUAUUGGGCCUAAAGCAUCCGUAGCCGGCCUUACAAGUCCUCCGUUAAAUCCAGCUGCUUAACAGAUGGGCUGCGGAGGAUACUAUAAGACUAGGAGGCAGGAGAGGCAAGCGGUACUCAGUGGGUAGGGGUAAAAUCCGUUGAUCCAUUGAAGACCACCAGUGGCGAAGGCGAGUCCCUGGACAACACCUGACACUGAGGCACGAAAGCUAGGGGAGCAAACAGG
rnacentral:rRNA from 1 species